UGAACAUCAGGAUACCUUGGUAAUAGGCUUGGGAGUCUGAGGCUGCCACCUAAGGAAAGUGUACGGGUCUACAAACGUACCUGUAAUCAUGAGAAGGUGGAUCAGAAGAGAAAGGUAAAUACCUGGAUUGAAAUGUUAUUGCCAUAAACAAUAUGUUGGAAGACCUGUGUAG
rnacentral:lncRNA from 1 species